rnacentral:misc_RNA from 1 species
AACAUCGCGCACCUGCGGGAACCUGCGGAAGGAUCAUCAUUGAAAAAAAUUAUAAAGGGGGGGCUCUUUUUAUAAAUAAGAGCCUUCUCUUUCAAACAAACGAUCGCAACUAUCUAUCUAUCUAUGUGUUGAAAAUGGUUUGGUUAGAAAGAAAAAGUGGCUGCCUGAUAUAUAAAAGUGCUCAAAGAAAAGAUACAACUUUCAACAAUGGAUCU